GGCCGUGAAAACCUCGCCGCUCACGGUGGCGGUGCGGUCGCAUACGGGGACUUGAGUUCGGUAGGGGAGACUGAAUUCCUGGUGUAGCACGGUGAAUGCGCAGAUAUCAGGAGGAACACCGGUGGCGAAGGUCGGGUCUCUGGGCCGAUACUGACGCUGAGGACGAAAGCGUGGGGAGCGAACAGAUUAGUAUCCUGGUAGUCCAGCCGUAAACCGUUGGGCGCUAGGUGUGGGGACUGUUUCCACGGUGUCCUGUGCCGUAGACUAACGCAUUAACGUCCCCGCCUUGGGGAGUUACGGCCGCAACGGCUAAAACUCAGGAAUUGACGGGCCCGCACAAGCGGCGGAGCAUGUGGCAUUAAUUCGAUGCAACGCGAAGAACCUACCUGGGUUUGACAUGCACCGACUGCCUCAGAGAUGGGGCUUCUCGGACUGGUGUGCAGGUGGUGCAUGCAGCUGUCGUCAGCUCUGUCGGUGAGAUGUUGGGUUAAGUCCCGCACGAGCGCAACCCUUCACCUAUGUUGCCGCGGUUCGUCCGGGGACUCGUGGGGGACUGCCGGGGUCAACUCGGAGGAAGGUGAUGACGUCAAGUCAUCAUGCCCCUUAUGCCCAGGGCUUCACACAUGCCAAUGGCUGGUACAGAGGGUUGCGAGACCGUGAGGUGGAGCGAAUCUCUGAACUGGUCUCAGUUCGGACGGGGUCUGCAACUCGACCCUGUGAAGUCGGAGUCGCUAGUAAUCGCAGAUCAGCAGUGUGCGGUGAAUACGUUCCCGGCCUUGUACACACCGCCGUCACGUCAUGAAGUCGGUAACACCC
rnacentral:rRNA from 1 species